GGAGAGGUGGCUGAGUGGCCGAAAGCACCUCACUGCUAACGAGGCAGGGUUUAACCGCCCUCGCGAGUUCGAAUCUCGCCCUCUCCG
rnacentral:tRNA from 1 species